rnacentral:rRNA from 1 species
CAGUCGCCGCGGUAAUACGAAGGGGGCUGGCGUUGUUCGGAUUUACUGGGCGUAAAGCGCACGUAGGCGGACUUUUAAGUCAGGGGUGAAAUCCCGGGGCUCAACCCCGGAACUGCCUUUGAUACUGGAAGUCUUGAGUAUGGUAGAGGUGAGUGGAAUUCCGAGUGUAGAGGUGAAAUUCGUAGAUAUUCGGAGGAACACCAGUGGCGAAGGCGGCUCACUGGACCAUUACUGACGCUGAGGUGCGAAAGCGUGGGGAGCAAACAGGAUUAGAUACCCGGGUAGUCCCUGUCUCUUAUAA